UCCUUCUUGGCCCUGCCGAAAACAAGGUGGGCAGUUCCUGCCACCUGGAGCUCGUUUCCGCACCUGUCAAAUGGGCGUUAAGAAUUCCACUGUGGUUUGAUACAUGGAGGUUCUCACUGUGUUGCCCAGGCUGGAGUGCAGUAGCAUGAUAGCUCACUACAGCCUCAAGCAAUCCUCCUGCCACACCUCCCGAGUAGCUGGAACUACAGGUGUGUGCCACCAUGCCUGGCUAAUUUUUUUAUUUUAUUUUAUUUUUUGUAGAGAUGGAGUCUCACUAUGUUGCCCAGGCUGGCCUCAAAACUCCUGGCCUCAAGUGAUCCUCCUGCCUCGGUCUCUCAAAUUGUUGGGAUGACAGGUAUGAGCCACUGCACAUGGCCCAAGAGUUUUUGUUUGUUAGUUUUGUUUUUUGAGAUGGAUUUUCACUCAUCUCCCAGGUUGCAGUGAGCUGAGAUCACGUCAUCGCACUCCAGCCUGGGCAACAAGAGGGAAACUCCUUCCCCGCCUCCCCCACCAAAAAAAAAGAGAA
rnacentral:sRNA from 1 species